GAAAUGCGAUAAGUAGUGUGAAUUGCAGAAUUCAGUGAAUCAUCGAAUCUUUGAACGCACAUUGCGCCCCUCGGUAUCCCGGGGGGCAUGCCUGUUCGAGCGUCAUUUCUACCACUCAAGUUUAGCUUGGUAUUGGGCAUCGUUAUGAAAAUAUUAACGUGCUUUAAAUGUAGACGGCAACAAUUCCCCAGCUUAGAGCGUAGCAGUAAAACAUUUUCGCUUUAAAAGCUGCUGGGUCUUGUUUACCGCAUAGUUUUUACUACAGUUUGACCUCGGAUCAGGCAGGGAUACCCGCUGAACUUAA
rnacentral:misc_RNA from 1 species